CAGUCGCCACGGGAAUACCGAGGGUGCAAGCGUUAAUCGGAAUUACUGGGCGUAAAGCGCGCGUAGGUGGUUUGUUAAGUUGGAUGUGAAAUCCCCGGGCUCAACCUGGGAACUGCAUCCAAAACUGGCAAGCUAGAGUAUGGUAGAGGGUGGUGGAAUUUCCUGUGUAGCGGUGAAAUGCGUAGAUAUAGGAAGGAACACCAGUGGCGAAGGCGACCACCUGGACUGAUACUGACACUGAGGUGCGAAAGCGUGGGGAGCAAACAGGAUUAGAUACCCCCGUAGUCCCUGUCUCUUAUAA
rnacentral:rRNA from 1 species